GGGUCAGUAGGUUGGUCGUGCCACCGGUACGUACUGGUCUCACUGAUUCCUCCUUCCUGAAGAACCGUAAUGCCAUUAAUUUGGUGUUGCGGGGAAACAGGACUGUUACUUUGAAAAAAUUAGAGUGUUUAAAGCAAGCUAACGCUUGAAUACAUUAGCAUGGAAUAGUGAAAUAGGACGAUCGAUCCUAUUUUGUUGGUUUCUAGGAUUGACGUA
rnacentral:rRNA from 1 species